UCUACCGGAAGUAAUGAAUCCAACGGUUUUGCAUCUUCAACUUUUAAUAACAAGCCAUGCAAUGAAAGGUCUUGAAUCGUAGCUUGCAUUGCCAAGUCUCCUUGCUCAAUUAGAGCAGGUACUUGGUAGAUGAUGCGUGAAAAGCGUCGUCUCUCCGUCAUAGAGCUUUCUCGUAAAGUAUUCAAACAAGUGAAAGACUAUAUCAAAUAGUACAAAAUUUGUUCGAUUUUUGUUCUUAAAAUGUCGAGAUAGCUACAGAGUUGGGUUGGCUAAUGGUCAUGCUCUUGACCUACUUGAGAGGUACUUCGAGCUAUUUAU
rnacentral:ncRNA from 1 species